UACGGAGGGAGCUAGCGUCGUUCGGAAUUACUGGGCGUAAAGCGCACGUAGGCGGCUACUCAAGUCAGAGGUGAAAGCCCAGGGCUCAACCCUGGAACUGCCUUUGAAACUAGGUAGCUAGAAUCUUGGAGAGGUCAGUGGAAUUCCGAGUGUAGAGGUGAAAUUCGUAGAUAUUCGGAAGAACACCAGUGGCGAAGGCGACUGACUGGACAAGUAUUGACGCUGAGGUGCGAAAGCGUGGGGAGCAAACAGG
rnacentral:rRNA from 1 species